GUGCUAAGUUUGGCAGCACAUAUGCAAAAAUUGAAAUGAAACAAAGAAGAUUAACAUGGGCACUGUGCAAGGAUAACAUGUAAAUUUGUGACUUUCCAUAAUUUUUC
ensembl:snRNA U6 U6 spliceosomal RNA